UUAGCCUGACGGUCAUAAACCAUAAAGCAUGUGAUCUAAUU
rnacentral:rRNA from 1 species